rnacentral:rRNA from 1 species
CAGAACGAACGCUGGUGGCGUGUCUAUACAUGCAAGUCGAGCGGUGCAGCAAUGCAUAGCGGCGAACGGGUGAGUAACGCGUAAGCAAUCUGCCCCCUGUUCGGGAAUAGCCGUGCCAACGCGCGGGUAAUACCGGAUAUCGUGGCGCUCCUCAUGGAGCGUUGACAAAAGAUUUAUCGACAGGGGAUGAGCUUGCGUCCGAUUAGCUAGUUGGCGGGGCAACGGCCCACCAAGGCGACGAUCGGUAGCCGGCCUGAGAGGGUGAUCGGCCACAUUGGGACUGAGAUACGGCCCAGACUCCUACGGGAGGCAGCAGUAGGGAAUAUUGCACAAUGGGGGAAACCCUGAUGCAGCAACGCCACGUGUGGGAAAGAAGCAUUUCGGUGUGUAAACCACUGUCGUGAGGGAAUAAGGCUGAGUUUCGGCUCAGUUGAAUGUACCUCGAGAGGAAGCACCGGCAAACUUCGUGCCAGCAGCCGC